AUCGCUAUUGGCUGCAGUAAACAGUUGAAGUUGGUAGAUGCGAAGACCUGAUUUGGUUGGUGGUUCAGUAGGUUAUAAUGAAAGCUCAGUAAUGCUUUGAUCGUGGCUGGUACACAUUGAUACUAGAAUGCUCUGCGCUCGGUGAAUAGUGAAAGGUUUUAAGUCGCGAGACCAUUAUUAUUCAAUAGUCUUACUGAAUUUGGUAUAUCAGUGAAUCUAGGUAAGGAGUAGAACUCGUGGACGCCUUCUUUUCUGGAUUAACAAUUGUGUGGAUUAUCGGCAACCAGAUCAAAUCCAACUUCGCGGCAGAAGAGAUGGGGAUCUGAUAGGAGAGAUGUGGCUGUAACGCUGCUCUCCUCGUCCCUUUACCUAUAUCAAGGAAUUUUCGGGAGGGUUGCGUCCUAAUCUGUUUACAUUCCGAAAGACGUGGCAGUCGGAUGCCUCCUCCUUCGAGUGUGUGCUGAUGAGUCCUGAACCUCGCGGCAUUGCAGUCUUUUGUUAACGUUUGCGAGAUGAAUCCGCUGUUGACGUGGUGAAAAUUGGAUGUCACUUUCUAGGUGUCACCAGUGUUUUUCCACUCCCUAACCUCAGGGUAUUAUCAGGAUUAGGAGGUCAGUAACAACUCACAGAUGCUUUCCAUUGUCAUGUAUCAUCUGGCGGAUUGACAUUGGGCCGGUUAUCGCAGUUCCUCGGGGUGCGUGGUGUCACUCCAUCGUAAGAAAAAUUAAAAGAAGUGUUACAGGAACGCCAUCUUCCAUCCAUCCAUCCAGCUGGAACAUCUGAAGAUCUACAGCCCGCCGCGUAUAAGAAUAUUUGGAGCUUAGGUACUGGAAGCGAGAAAACUACAUAACGAGGGGCUUUAUAAUUUUUACCGAAUAUUAUUAGGGGGACUUAAUCAUGGAGUGUGAAAUACGCCGUUCUUGUAGCACGCAUAGUGAAGAUGAGAAGCGAGUAAGACAUUUUACCCGGAAAAUAUCAAGGGAAGAUGAGACUUUAGAGACCUGAACGCCGAUAAUAUUGAAAUGUAUAUUAGAACAGUGUUGUGUGAGGUGGAUUUAGCUGGAUUUAUACGGUUUAAUUGCGUGAUCUUGUGAGGAUAAGCCAUUGGUUCCAUAGACAUCGGAAAUUU